UACUAAAAAUGAUAAUAUUUUAGCUGAAGUAGAUCACUCUAUUAACGUAGAUGAAAAUAAACUUGAAUAUACUAAAAAUGAUGGGGACAAACCAUUUGAUGAUUUCAAAGUACCUAAAGAAAUACCCAGAAAGAAUAAGACAAAUAAAAAAGUAUCUUUGAAGCCAGAACCUCGGUUUGUUCUUACACAUGUAUUAGAAGGACACAUCAUUCAGGAAUCAAAUUAUCCCUUUCCGAUCACCCAAACUAAGAAAGAAAAUCCGCUAGAAAAUCCUCAGGAAGGAGCUACCACAUCAAUAGUAGGAAUAAAAGAAGAGAAACUUCUAGAAGACAGUAGUAACAGCAAUCCAUUCGCGCGACUACAGAAGAGCACCGUCAAAUCUUGGACGGCUGAAGACCUAUCAAGCUACCUGGUACAAUUCAACUGGUGCGACACGGCAGCGAUCCUCAAGGACAAUGAGAUUGAUGGACAGACCCUGCUCCUGGUCUCCAAGACACAGCUGGUCAUCAUCGGAGUGGAUGAGGAGCAAGCUGAAGAUAUCUGCGAAUUUGUUCAA